rnacentral:rRNA from 1 species
AACGAACGCUGGCGGCAGGCUUAACACAUGCAAGUCGAACGGUUGUAGCAAUACAGCAGUGGCAGACGGGUGAGUAACACGUGGGAACCUUCCUAGGGGUACGGAACAACUCAGGGAAACUUGAGCUAAUACCGUAUACGUCCGUGAGGAGAAAGUUUUAACGCCCCUCGAGGGCCCGGCCGUAGGUAAGUAGGUUAGGUUGGUUGGAGGU